GAUGAACGCUAGCUACAGGCUUAACACAUGCAAGUCGAGGGGCAGCAUGACGAUAGCUUGCUAUUGUUGAUGGCGACCGGCGCACGGGUGAGUAACGCGUAUCCAACCUUCCCGUUGCUAGGGGAUAACCUUGCGAAAGUAAGACUAAUACCCUAUGAAGUUCUUCGCAGGCAUCUAAAGAGAACGAAAGAUUUAUCGGCAACGGAUGGGGAUGCGUCUGAUUAGGUUGUUGGCGGGGUAACGGCCCACCAAGCCCACGAUCAGUAGGGGUUCUGAGAGGAAGGUCCCCCACAUUGGAACUGAGACACGGUCCAAACUCCUACGGGAGGCAGCAGUGAGGAAUAUUGGUCAAUGGGCGAGAGCCUGAACCAGCCAAGUAGCGUGUGGGACGAAUGCCCUAUGGGUUGUAAACCACUUUUGCAGGAGGGUAAAAUGCUUCACGUGUGGAGUAUUGCAAGUAUCCUGCGAAUAAGGACCGGCUAAUUCCGUGCCAGCAGCCGAC
rnacentral:rRNA from 1 species